rnacentral:rRNA from 1 species
GCUCACUGGUCGAGUCGGCCUGCGCGGAAGAUGUAACGGGGCUAAACCAUGCACCGAAGCUGCGGCAGCGACACUAUGUGUUGUUGGGUAGGGGAGCGUUCUGUAAGCCUGUGAAGGUGUACUGUGAGGUAUGCUGGAGGUAUCAGAAGUGCGAAUGCUGACAUAAGUAACGAUAAAGCGGGUGAAAAGCCCGCUCGCCGGAAGACCAAGGGUUCCUGUCCAA